rnacentral:rRNA from 1 species
UACGUAGGGGGCGAGCGUUGUCCGGAAUCAUUGGGCGUAAAGAGCGUGUAGGUGGCUUGGAAAGUCUUACGUGAAAGCCUGCGGCUCAACCGCAGAAGUGCGUGGGAAACUUCCUCGCUAGAGUCCGGAAGAGGAGAGCGGAAUUCCUGGUGUAGCGGUGGAAUGCGCAGAUAUCAGGAGGAACACCUGUGGCGAAAGCGGCUCACUGGACCACAACUGACGCUGAGGCGCGAAAGCUAGGGGAGCAAACAGG